AUUUCAUGAAUACAAAUAUGAACUCACAAAACCCAUCUUUCCCGAACGCUCCCUCGUGGAAUAGAAGCACCUUCUCCGGGUUUGGGAUCUGCCCGGGUGGUGGGUACCCCAACAAUGCACCUGCAUCUCUGCUGGUCGUGAACAGCAGCAGACAGGAUGCAGCUUUAUUGUAAGGGUGUAACGUAUGUGUGCCGGUAACCAUGUAUACGCUCCCAGCAGACCCCAUUACUGCUCUGCAAUAUUAAUAUGCAAAAUUCGUUAAUGUGUGCUUCUGAACAUCAGCUGGAUUUGUACAUUUUGCUCUGAUGGGAACAUUUGCUUGGAAACGUAGUUAGAAUUUGGUUCUAACAAUGGCUCCUGUUGGUGUGUGUGUGUGUGUCUGGAGAUCCGUUGCAGCUGAUAGGAGGGAACGGGUUACGCGUCUCCCCGCGAAAGCGAAUCUGGAGUAAAGUGCAGCUCGGCCCUCCUGAGAGAAAUCCGCUCCUUCUCUCCGGUUCACACACCCUCUCUGCUCUCGUCUUGCUUUUUCCCUCUUUCAUUUUCUCCCAAAUCCCCAGCCACACCUCCCCUCCGCCCAACCUUCUCACCCCGACUUCAAAGCGCCCUGGAAUCCAUUACUGAGGCGCAGACUUGCCAGAAAAUAAACCGAGCUUCAGUCGCGGUGGAGGACGUGACGUGGGGGGUGUAGGCGUCUGGACCAGAGCUGAUCUCGCACACACAUCACAGGUGAAAACUCCCCCUGGAAGCCUGAAGUUGCCCCCAACAAAGCAGAAACAUCUCAUUUCACGCCGGUUCCACCUAAGAUCGUCUUGUCCCACCAUGGGCGAACCAACAGGACAACGGCAACAUGUUCAAAAAGCCCAAACUGCCGCCAAGAACAACCUGCAGAGAGCCUCUGAGGAGCAGCUUCAUGGUAAUCAGGUUCCAUCCCAUAAUGAUGUUCAGACAGCUGAGACCAGUUUACUGGAUCUAACCUGGACAGAUGACACGCUGUCCACUAGUCCAGAGGAGCUUCAGCUUAACGUCCUGCAGAGGAAGGAUGGUAACGGGUCCAUAGAGAUCCCCCCCGUGCUGGCAAGGAAACCAGAGCCACAGCCCAGUGGCCCCAAACCCCCAGGUUCAGCAGAGGUGCCAGUGAGAGUGAAAACCGGCCCACAAUCCACCGCAGGAUCUCCGAGGCACUCUGAGAAAUCCAAGCAGGGUGUAGAGACCGAGAGAACCCCAAGAAAUCGUGGGGGUUCCACCAAACAGGAGGCCAGAGAACAUGGAGAUGGCACGGUGCAGAAGACAGGAGGGAGGCGGGGUGAGGUUGAAAAGAAAGGAGGAGCCCGGAGA
rnacentral:lncRNA from 1 species